UGGGUUGUAAACUGCUUUUAUACGGGAGCAAUAAGGGUUACGAGUAAUCCGAUGAGAGUACUGUAUGAAUAAGGAUCGGCUAACUCCGUGCCAGCAGCCGCGGUAAUACGGAGGAUCCGAGCGUUAUCCGGAAUUAUUGGGUUUAAAGGGUGCGUAGGCGGCCAUUUAAGUCAGCGGUGAAAUUUUGCAGCUUAACUGUAACAGUGCCGUUGAUACUGUUUGGCUAGGAUUUGGUUGUAGUGUGCGGAAUGUGUGGUGUAGCGGUGAAAUGCUUAGAUAUCACACAGAACACCGAUUGCGAAGGCAGCACACUAAGUCAUUAUUGACGCUGAGGCACGAAAGUGUGGGGAUCAAACAGGAUUAGAUACCCUGGUAGUCCACACUGUAAACGAUGAUAACUCGCUGUCGGCGAUACACAGUCGGUGGCCAAGCGAAAGCAUUAAGUUAUCCACCUGGGGAGUACGACCGCAAGGUUGAAACUCAAAGGAAUUGACGGGGGCCCGCACAAGCGGAGGAACAUGUGGUUUAAUUCGAUGAUACGCGAGGAACCUUACCCGGGCUCGAACGGUGCAUGAAUAUACGAGAGAUUGUAUAGUCCUUCGGGACAUGUAUCGAGGUGCUGCAUGGUUGUCGUCAGCUCGUGCCGUGAGGUGUCGGCUUAAGUGCCAUAACGAGCGCAACCCUUGUCAUUAGUUGCCAUCAGGUCAGGCUGGGGACUUUAAUGAGACUGCCACCGUAAGGUGUGAGGAAGGGGGGGAUGACGUCAAAUCAGCACGGCCCUUAUGUCCGGGGCGACACACGUGUUACAAUGGGAGGUACAGAGGGCAGCUAUCCGGUGACGGAAUGCUAAUCUCCAAAACCUUUCUCAGUUCGGAUUGGAGUCUGCAACUCGACUCCAUGAAGGUGGAUUCGCUAGUAAUCGCGCAUCAGCCAUGGCGCGGUGAAUACAAAGCCGGCCCUUGCACACACCGCCCGUCAAG
rnacentral:rRNA from 1 species